AACGAACGCUGGCGGCAGGCUUAACACAUGCAAGUCGAACGGGUGUAGCAAUACAUCAGUGGCAGACGGGUAAGUAACACGUGGGAACCUUCCUAGGGGUACGGAACAACUCAGGGAAACUUGAGCUAAUACCGUAUACGUCCGUGAGGAGAAAGAUUUAUCGCCCUUAGACGGGCCCGCGUCGGAUUAGGUAGUUGGUGGGGUAACGGCCUACCAAGCCUACGAUCCGUAGCUGAUCUUAGAGGAUGAUCAGCCACACUGGGACUGAGACACGGCCCAGACUCCUACGGGAGGCAGCAGUGGGGAAUCUUGGACAAUGGGCGCAAGCCUGAUCCAGCCAUGCCGCGUGAGUGAAGAAGGCCUUAGGGUUGUAAAGCUCUUUUACCAGGGACGAUAAUGACGGUACCUGGAGAAUAAGCCCCGGCAAACUUCGUGCCAGCAGCCGCAGUAACAC
rnacentral:rRNA from 1 species